AGAACGAACGCUGGCGGCAUGCCUAACACAUGCAAGUCGAACGAAGCCUUCGGGCUUAGUGGCGCACGGGUGCGUAACACGUGGGAAUCUGCCCUUAGGUACGGAAUAACUCAGGGAAACUUGAGCUAAUACCGUAUGAUGUCUUCGGACCAAAGAUUUAUCGCCUAAGGAUGAGCCCGCGUCGGAUUAGCUAGUUGGUGGGUAAAGCCUACCAAGGCGACGAUCCGUAGCUGGUCUGAGAGGAUGAUCAGCCACACUGGGACUGAGACACGGCCCAGACUCCUACGGGAGGCAGCAGUGGGAUAUGGACAGUGGCGAAGCCUGAUCCAGCAAUGCCGCG
rnacentral:rRNA from 1 species